rnacentral:rRNA from 1 species
AUGAACGCUGGCGGCGUGCCUAAUACAUGCCAGUCGAGCGAACAGACGAGGAGCUUGCUCCUCUGACGUUAGCGGCGGACGGGUGAGUAACACGUGGAUAACCUACCUAUAAGACUGGGAUAACUUCGGGAAACCGGAGCUAAUACCGGAUAAUAUAUUGAACCGCAUGGUUCAAUAGUGAAAGACGGUUUUGCUGUCACUUAUAGAUGGAUCCGCGCCGCAUUAGCUAGUUGGUAAGGUAACGGCUUACCAAGGCGACGAUGCGUAGCCGACCUGAGAGGGGGAUCGGCCACACCGGAACUGAGACACGGUCCAGACUCCUAAGGGAGGCAGCAGUAGGGAAUCUUCCGCAAUGGGCGAAAGCCUGACGGAGCAACGCCGCGUGAGUGAUGAAGGUCUUCGGAUCGUAAAACUCUGUUAUUAGGGAAGAACAAAUGUGUAAGUAACUAUGCACGUCUUGACGGUACCUAAUCAGAAAGCCACGGCUAACUACGUG